AUUGAACGCUGGCGGCAGGCUUAACACAUGCAAGUCGAACGAGUGGCGGACGGGUGAGUAAUGCUUGGGAAUCUAGCUUAUGGAGGGGGAUAACUACGGGAAACUGUAGCUAAUACCGCAUACCAUAGGCUGAGCCCAAGUGGGAUUAGGUCGUUGGUGAGGUAAUGGCUCACCAACCCGACGAUCUCUAGCUGGUCUGGGAGGAUGACCAGCCACCCUGGGACGGAGACACGUCCCAGACUCCUACGUGAGGCAGCAGUGGGGAAUAUUGCGCCAUGGGGGCAAGCUGACGCCGCCAUGCCGCGUUAAUGAAGAAGGCCGUCGGGUUGUAAAGUUCUUUCGGUAGCGAGGCGUUAACCACAGAAGAAGCACCGGCUAACUCCGUGCCAGCAGCCGCGGUAAUUC
rnacentral:rRNA from 1 species